rnacentral:rRNA from 1 species
CAGAUUGAACGCUGGCGGCAUGCUUUACACAUGCAAGUCGAACGGUAACAGGUCUUCGGAUGCUGACGAGUGGCGAACGGGUGAGUAAUACAUCGGAACGUGCCUAGUANUGGGGGAUAACUACUCGAAAGAGUAGCUAAUACCGCAUGAGAUCUACGGAUGAAAGCAGGGGACCUUCGGGCCUUGUGCUACUAGAGCGGCUGAUGGCAGAUUAGGUAGUUGGUGGGGUAAAGGCUUACCAAGCCUGCGAUCUGUAGCUGGUCUGAGAGGACGACCAGCCACACUGGGACUGAGACACGGCCCAGAC